GGGUUGUGAGGUUAAGCGACUAAGCGUACACGGUGGAUGCCCUGGCAGUCAGAGGCGAUGAAGGACGUGCUAAUCUGCGAUAAGCGUCGGUAAGGUGAUAUGAACCGUUAUAACCGGCGAUUUCCGAAUGGGGAAACCCAGUGUGAUUCGUCACACUAUCAUUAACUGAAUCCAUAGGUUAAUGAGGCGAACCGGGGGAACUGAAACAUCUAAGUACCCCGAGGAAAAGAAAUCAACCGAGAUUCCCCCAGUAGCGGCGAGCGAACGGGGAGCAGCCCAGAGCCUGAAUCAGUGUGUGUGUUAGUGGAAGCGUCUGGAAAGGCGUGCGAUACAGGGUGACAGCCCCGUACACAAAAAUGCACAUGCUGUGAGCUCGAUGAGUAGGGCGGGACACGUGGUAUCCUGUCUGAAUAUGGGGGGACCAUCCUCCAAGGCUAAAUACUCCUGACUGACCGAUAGUGAACCAGUACCGUGAGGGAAAGGCGAAAAGAACCCCGGCGAGGGGAGUGAAAAAGAACCUGAAACCGUGUACGUACAAGCAGUGGGAGCCUCUUUAUGGGGUGACUGCGUACCUUUUGUAUAAUGGGUCAGCGACUUAUAUUCUGUAGCAAGGUUAACCGAAUAGGGGAGCCGAAGGGAAACCGAGUCUUAACUGGGCGUUAAGUUGCAGGGUAUAGACCCGAAACCCGGUGAUCUAGCCAUGGGCAGGUUGAAGGUUGGGUAACACUAACUGGAGGACCGAACCGACUAAUGUUGAAAAAUUAGCGGAUGACUUGUGGCUGGGGGUGAAAGGCCAAUCAAACCGGGAGAUAGCUGGUUCUCCCCGAAAGCUAUUUAGGUAGCGCCUCGUGAAUUCAUCUCCGGGGGUAGAGCACUGUUUCGGCAAGGGGGUCAUCCCGACUUACCAACCCGAUGCAAACUGCGAAUACCGGAGAAUGUUAUCACGGGAGACACACGGCGGGUGCUAACGUCCGUCGUGAAGAGGGAAACAACCCAGACCGCCAGCUAAGGUCCCAAAGUCAUGGUUAAGUGGGAAACGAUGUGGGAAGGCCCAGACAGCCAGGAUGUUGGCUUAGAAGCAGCCAUCAUUUAAAGAAAGCGUAAUAGCUCACUGGUCGAGUCGGCCUGCGCGGAAGAUGUAACGGGGCUAAACCAUGCACCGAAGCUGCGGCAGCGACACUAUGUGUUGUUGGGUAGGGGAGCGUUCUGUAAGCCUGUGAAGGUGUGCUGUGAGGCAUGCUGGAGGUAUCAGAAGUGCGAAUGCUGACAUAAGUAACGAUAAAGCGGGUGAAAAGCCCGCUCGCCGGAAGACCAAGGGUUCCUGUCCAACGUUAAUCGGGGCAGGGUGAGUCGACCCCUAAGGCGAGGCCGAAAGGCGUAGUCGAUGGGAAACAGGUUAAUAUUCCUGUACUUGGUGUUACUGCGAAGGGGGGACGGAGAAGGCUAUGUUGGCCGGGCGACGGUUGUCCCGGUUUAAGCGUGUAGGCUGGUUUUCCAGGCAAAUCCGGAAAACUAAGGCUGAGGCGUGAUGACGAGGCACUACGGUGCUGAAGCGACAAAUGCCCUGCUUCCAGGAAAAGCCUCUAAGCAUCAGGUAACAUCAAAUCGUACCCCAAACCGACACAGGUGGUCAGGUAGAGAAUACCAAGGCGCUUGAGAGAACUCGGGUGAAGGAACUAGGCAAAAUGGUGCCGUAACUUCGGGAGAAGGCACGCUGAUAUGUAGGUGAAGCGACUUGCUCGUGGAGCUGAAAUCAGUCGAAGAUACCAGCUGGCUGCAACUGUUUAUUAAAAACACAGCACUGUGCAAACACGAAAGUGGACGUAUACGGUGUGACGCCUGCCCGGUGCCGGAAGGUUAAUUGAUGGGGUCAGCGCAAGCGAAGCUCUUGAUCGAAGCCCCGGUAAACGGCGGCCGUAACUAUAACGGUCCUAAGGUAGCGAAAUUCCUUGUCGGGUAAGUUCCGACCUGCACGAAUGGCGUAAUGAUGGCCAGGCUGUCUCCACCCGAGACUCAGUGAAAUUGAACUCGCUGUGAAGAUGCAGUGUACCCGCGGCAAGACGGAAAGACCCCGUGAACCUUUACUAUAGCUUGACACUGAACAUUGAGCCUUGAUGUGUAGGAUAGGUGGGAGGCUUUGAAGUGUGGACGCCAGUCUGCAUGGAGCCGACCUUGAAAUACCACCCUUUAAUGUUUGAUGUUCUAACGUAGACCCCUAAUCGGGGUUGCGGACAGUGUCUGGUGGGUAGUUUGACUGGGGCGGUCUCCUCCUAAAGAGUAACGGAGGAGCACGAAGGUUGGCUAAUCCUGGUCGGACAUCAGGAGGUUAGUGCAAUGGCAUAAGCCAGCUUGACUGCGAGCGUGACGGCGCGAGCAGGUGCGAAAGCAGGUCAUAGUGAUCCGGUGGUUCUGAAUGGAAGGGCCAUCGCUCAACGGAUAAAAGGUACUCCGGGGAUAACAGGCUGAUACCGCCCAAGAGUUCAUAUCGACGGCGGUGUUUGGCACCUCGAUGUCGGCUCAUCACAUCCUGGGGCUGAAGUAGGUCCCAAGGGUAUGGCUGUUCGCCAUUUAAAGUGGUACGCGAGCUGGGUUUAGAACGUCGUGAGACAGUUCGGUCCCUAUCUGCCGUGGGCGCUGGAGAACUGAGGGGGGCUGCUCCUAGUACGAGAGGACCGGAGUGGACGCAUCACUGGUGUUCGGGUUGUCAUGCCAAUGGCACUGCCCGGUAGCUAAAUGCGGAAGAGAUAAGUGCUGAAAGCAUCUAAGCACGAAACUUGCCCCGAGAUGAGUUCUCCCUGACUCCUUGAGAGUCCUGAAGGAACGUUGAAGACGACGACGUUGAUAGGCCGGGUGUGUAAGCGCAGCGAUGCGUUGAGCUAACCGGUACUAAUGAACCGUGAGGCUUAACCUUACAACGCCGAAG
rnacentral:rRNA from 1 species